GGGUUGUGAGGUUAAGCGACUAAGCGUACACGGUGGAUGCCCUGGCAGUCAGAGGCGAUGAAGGACGUGCUAAUCUGCGAUAAGCGCCGGUAAGGUGAUAUGAACCGUUAUAACCGGCGAUUUCCGAAUGGGGAAACCCAGUGUGACUCGUCACACUAUCAUUAACUGAAUCCAUAGGUUAAUGAGGCGAACCGGGGGAACU
rnacentral:rRNA from 1 species